AGUGUCAUGGCCGAGUGGUCUAAGGCGUCUGACUUAAGAUCAGAUCCUCGUAAGAGGGCGUGGGUUCAAACCCCACUGACACUA